rnacentral:rRNA from 1 species
GGGUUUACCAGGUGGGAGGCGGGCUGGAUCUCUCGGGGUUACAGCCUUGCUGAAUUAUUCACCCUUGUCUUUUGCGUACUUCUUGUUUCCUUGGUGGGUUCGCCCACCACUAGGACAAACAUAAACCUUUUGUAAUUGCAAUCAGCGUCAGUAACAAAUUAAUAAUUACAACUUUCAACAACGGAUCUCUUGGUUCUGGCAUCGAUGAAGAACGCAGCGAAAUGCGAUAAGUAGUGUGAAUUGCAGAAUUCAGUGAAUCAUCGAAUCUUUGAACGCACAUUGCGCCCUUUGGUAUUCCAAAGGGCAUGCCUGUUCGAGCGUCAUUUGUACCCUCAAGCUUUGCUUGGUGUUGGGCGUCUUGUCUCUAGCUUUGCUGGAGACUCGCCUUAAAGUAAUUGGCAGCCGGCCUACUGGUUUCGGAGCGCAGCACAAGUCGCACUCUCUAUCAGCAAAGGUCUAGCAUCCAUUAAGCCUUUUUUCAACUUUUGACCUCGGAUCAGGUAGGGAUACCCGCUGAACUUAAGCAUAUCAUAGGCGGGAAGGAAA